rnacentral:rRNA from 1 species
AUUGAACGCUGGCGGCAGGCCUAACACAUGCAAGUCGAACGAGUGGCGGACGGGUGAGUAAUGUCUGGGAACCUGCCUGAUGGAGGGGGCUAACUACUGGAAACGGUAGCUAAUACCGCAUACCAUCGGAUGUGCCCAGGUGGGAGUAGCUAGUAGGUGGGGUAACGGCUCACCUAGGCGACGAUCCCUAGCGGGUCUGAGAGGGUGACCAGCAACACUGGAACUGAGACACGGUCCAUACUCCUACGGGAGGCAGCAGUGGGGAAUAUUGCACAAUGGGCGCAAGCCUGAUCCAGCCAUGCCGCGUGUGUGAAGAAGGUCUUCGGAUUGUAAAGCCCUUUAAGUUGGGAGGCGUUACCAACAGAAUAAGCAACGGCUAACUUCGUGCCAGCAGCCGCGGUAAUAC